CAGUCGAGCGGACAGAUGGGAGCUUGCUCCCUGAUGUUAGCGGCGGACGGGUGAGUAACACGUGGGUAACCUGCCUGUAAGACUGGGAUAACUCCGGGAAACCGGGGCUAAUACCGGAUGGUUGUUUGAACCGCAUGGUUCAAACAUAAAAGGUGGCUUCGGCUACCACUUACAGAUGGACCCGCGGCGCAUUAGCUAGUUGGUGAGGUAACGGCUCACCAAGGCAACGAUGCGUAGCCGACCUGAGAGGGUGAUCGGCCACACUGGGACUGAGACACGGCCCAGACUCCUACGGGAGGCAGCAGUAGGGAAUCUUCCGCAAUGGACGAAAGUCUGACGGAGCAACGCCGCGUGAGUGAUGAAGGUUUUCGGAUCGUAAAGCUCUGUUGUUAGGGAAGAACAAGUACCGUUCGAAUAGGGCGGUACCUUGACGGUACCUAACCAGAAAGCCACGGCUAACUACGUGCCAGCAGCCGCGGUAAUACGUAGGUGGCAAGCGUUGUCCGGAAUUAUUGGGCGUAAAGGGCUCGCAGGCGGUUUCUUAAGUCUGAUGUGAAAGCCCCCGGCUCAACCGGGGAGGGUCAUUGGAAACU
rnacentral:rRNA from 1 species